AGACUGCUGUGAAACCCAGAACCAGACGCUGAAUCUGCUGGCGCCUUAAUCUUGGAUUUCCCAGCCUCCAGAACUAGAAUCAGAGCUCCAUGAGGGAAUGGCAGAGUCCAAGGCUGGGGCAGGGAAGCACCAGACGAGCCAGGAACACAGAGCAUCUUGAUGUACCAGAAAGUAAGGAACUGUAAAAACAAACAAACAAAAAGAGAUGGAGGGAACCCGUAACCUGAAUCAAGUCAUGAGGAAGCACCAGGCAAGUCCCACCGAACGUUCUACAAAACAACUGGUUUAUGUUCUUCAAACAUGUGAAUGUAAUGCAAGACGAAGACGUAGUAAGGAACUGUUCCAGAUUAAAGAAGAUUAAAGACACAUGACAAUUUAAUGCGUAUGUGACCCCUGGUUGAAGCUUGUACUAGAGGGGAAAAACGCUAUAAGGAAUUUUAUUGGUAUAAUUGACAAAAUUGGAAUGUGGAUUGUAGAGCAGGGGCUGGCCCAAUGACGUAUUGGUUAAGUUCACACACUCCACUUCAGUGGCCUGGGGUUCGAGGGUUCAGAUCCCGAGUGCGGGUUUUCACACUGCUCAUCACGCCAUGCUGUGGUGGCGUCCCACAUACAAAACAGAGGAAGCUAGGCACAGAUGUUAGCUCAGUGACAAUCUUCCUCAAGCAAAAAGAGGAAGAUUGGCAACAGAUGUUAGCUCAGGGCCAAUCUUCCCCACCAAAAAAAAAAAAAAUCUGGAUCGCAGAAAAAAGCAUAUAUCAAGGUUAAGUGUUCUGAUUUGAUAACUAUUUUGUGGUUAUGCAAGAAAAUAUACUUGUUUCUGGAACUAUAUAAUGAAGUAUUAAGAGUAUAAUAAAGACAUGAUCUAUAUAACCUCAAAUUGUUCAGAAAAAAUAAACAAUUACAGAGGGAAAGAAAGAGAGAGAUAAUCAAAUAAAUGUGAUAAAAUGUAAAAAAAAAGAUUAUUCUGGAUAAAGGCUAUAUGAGAGUUCUCUGUAAUUUUGGCAACAUUUCUUUACAU
rnacentral:lncRNA from 1 species